rnacentral:rRNA from 1 species
AUACCUACGGGACGCAGCAGUGAGGAAUAUUGGUCAAUGGGCGGGAGCCUGAACCAGCCAAGUCGCGUGAGGGAAGACGGUCCUACGGAUUGUAAACCUCUUUUGCCGGGGAGCAACGGGGUCCUUGCGAGGGCCCAAUGAGAGUACCCGGAGAAAAAGCAUCGGCUAACUCCGUGCCAGCAGCCGCGGUAAUACGGAGGAUGCGAGCGUUAUCCGGAUUUAUUGGGUUUAAAGGGUGCGCAGGCGGGCUGUUAAGCCGGCGGGAAAAAUUCGGGGCUCAACCCUGUCGAGCCGUCGGAACUGGG